AUUGAACGCUGGCGGCAGGCUUAAUACAUGCAAGUCGAACGGUGUCUUCGGACAUAGUGGCGCACGGGUGCGUAACACGUAUGCAACCUACCUUACAUUGGGGGAUAGCCUUUCGGAAGGGAGAUUAAUACCGCAUAAGACAGUAGCUGGGCAUCCAGCAGCUGUUAAAGAUUUAUCGAUGUAAGCUGGGCAUGCGUCCAAUUAGCUAGUUGGUGAGGUAACGGCUCACCAAGGCAAUGAUUGGUAGGGGAACUGAGAGGUCAAUCCCCCACACUGGCACUGAGAUACGGGCCAGACUCCUACGGGAGGCAGCAGUGGGGAAUAUUGGGCAAUGGACGCAAGGCUGACCCAGCCAUGCCGCGUGCAGGAUGAAGGCGUUAUGCGUUGUAAACUGCUUUUAUACAGGAAGAAACGACUCUUGCGAGAGGCAUUGACGGUACUGUAUGAAUAAGCACCGGCUAACUCCGUGCCAGUCGCCGCCGUAAUAC
rnacentral:rRNA from 1 species